UAGGGGCGAAAGACUAAUCGAACCAU
rnacentral:ncRNA from 7 species